AGGCCCAAAGAGAGAGGCAGGGUCUGAUUUGCAGCUUCUGUGGCAGCUGUUGAUCAGCUGUUGCCUCUCUUUCUCUUCA
rfam:Myotis brandtii contig233837, whole genome shotgun sequence.